ACUGCUGGUCAGCAAGUAACAUUUUGAAUAGCAAGGCUCUGAGCAGCAGAGGCCAUAGAACCAAGGUGAGAACAGACUGAGAACUUCUUCCGGCUUUGUUCCCUGCAAACAUCUUCAGGGGAAGAGCCUGUGCUCUUUGCCUUGUUCAAGGAAGUAACUAGCAGACUGGAAUCAGCCCAGUGAGAGUCAAAAAGUGCCCAGGAGACCAUAUCCACCUGGCCAGCUGCCACAGGCUCUUCAACCCUACCGAGGAUGGGAUCCAUCACGCCUUCCUCCUCACCGUGGCCCAGGACUUAUUCCGCUACCUCCUCCUCCUGGUCCACCAGGGCGCAUUCCUCCUCCUCCUCCCUUUGGCCCAGGGCGCAUUCCAUUUCAACCCCUUCCACAGGGACCCAUUAAACAAGCUAAACCCUUUCCAGGUUACCCAGAACCACCAUUCCAACAAAGACCUUACCCUCCAGGACCUCCUCAGGUGCCAAAAGGCCAACUUCCCUUUAUUCCUUUUUGCCCUCCUUGCCCCACCCCUACAACCCUAUGUGAAACAACCACCACAGCUACAACCACAAGCACUACCGUUACAGAUCCCACCACCACCACAAAAGAAACCACUACUUCCACAGAACUCACUACCACAACAGCAACCACCACCACUUGCACUGAACCUUCCACCACCCCAGCAGCCAUCACUUCCACUGAACCCACCACCACAGCACCCACCACCAGCACUUCCAUAGAACCCAUUGUCACCACAACAGAAGCCACCACUUCCUCAACAGUACCGACUUAUUCAGCAACAGAACCCAGCACCACCACAUCAACAGCAACCACCACUGCAGCAUCUACUACAGCUACUACUCAAAUUACAACUACCAUUAAUUCACCACUCCAGCAAAAAAUACAACCACAACAAAACUACAUCAAAAAAUAUAACUUUUAAGAGUUUUUGGAAUAAAUCCUUUGCCAUUUUUCAUUGGAAGAUAUGAGAAAUGAUAUUUUCCAAACCACUGUGAGUUCUUAGGAGAAAUGAACUUCAGUUAUUUCAAUGGAACCAACCGUGUAAUCAGUACACAAAACAAAUAAAGUAUUUGAGC
ensembl:lncRNA